rnacentral:rRNA from 1 species
AUACGGAGGGUGCAAGCGUUAAUCGGAUUUACUGGGCGUAAAGCGCGCGUAGGCGGCUAAUUAAGUCAAAUGUGAAAUCCCCGAGCUUAACUUGGGAAUUGCAUUCGAUACUGGUUAGCUAGAGUGUGGGAGAGGAUGGUAGAAUUCCAGGUGUAGCGGUGAAAUGCGUAGAGAUCUGGAGGAAUACCGAUGGCGAAGGCAGCCAUCUGGCCUAACACUGACGCUGAGGUGCGAAAGCAUGGGGAGCAAACAGGAUUAGAAACCCUAGUAGUCC